UACAGGGGGUGCAAACGUUGCUCGGAAUCAUUGGGCGUAAAGCGCACGUAGGCGGUUCGUUAUGUCGGAUGUGAAAGCCCUUGGCUUAACCGAGGAAGUGCAUCCGAAACUGGCGAGCUAGAGUACUAAAGAGGAUCGCGGAAUUCCCGGUGUAGAGGUGAAAUUCGUAGAUAUCGGGAGGAACACCGGUGGCGAAGGCGGCGAUCUGGGUAGAUACUGACGCUGAGGCGCGAAAGCUGGGGGGAGCAAACAGG
rnacentral:rRNA from 1 species